AAUAUAACUUGAAUUUCUAAUUCUGAUUUUUAAAAAAAACACUUAUAAAUGUAUGGAUGUUCUCACCUCUGUACUUCAGCUUUAGCUACUCAAAAUCCAAUGAACUCAUGAAAAAUAUGGUCUGGGUAACUGGUUAAUUAAAACUGGGCAGCGGUCUGUUGGCAACUGGAAGACAAGCUGCUGCACUGAGGAUAUCAAUGGAGUAAGAAGGGAGAAAUCCAUAAGAGCUGAUUGACAUUUGAAGGAGUUUCCCUCUUCAGCUCUGUUCCUGAAGUAUGUGAAUUCCCAAAGCAGCCAAAGACUUUCCUUCUGGCCAUGGGGAGGCAGGCAGCAAAACUGCUGAAAUAUAAACGAGUUAAAGUCCAUUUACGGACCACGAAGAGUCAAUAUCUGUUCAAUCCUGUCGACUGAAGGCACCACCCUCCUGACUGAACACAGUAUGAUACUAGAAAGAUGGAAAGAACAUUUUGCAACUCUCCUCAAUCAUGAGUCGAGCACAAAUGAUCAAAUAGUAGACUCAAGCAAGCAAAGACCAGAUCAAUUUGAACUCGAAGAUCCACCAACUUUCCGUAAGAACGCACUUACGGAAAAGGCAAACAGAAAGGGAGCUGGAGCUGAUGAAAACCCAGCUGAAGUGCUGAAACACGGUGGUCCUGCACUUCACAAAGCUUUGCUAGACCUAUUUACUUUCUUCUGGAAAAAUGAGAAAGUAAAUAUGGAAGUGUUAUUUACUCCUCAUAACACAAGAACUAGGGGUCACCCAAUGAAAUUA